rnacentral:rRNA from 1 species
AUGCUUUACGGCUUAGAAUCGGGACUUGAAAGACAUUUUGAACAUCAUGGUGCAUAUGAGAUGUUCCAAGAGUUGAAGUUAAUAUUUCAAGAAAAUGCCCGAGUUGAGAGAUAUGAAGUCUCCAACAAGUUCUACAGCUGCAAAAUGGAGGAGAAUAGUUCUGCCAGUGAACACAUACUCAAAAUUUCUGGGUAUCAUAAUCACUUGACUCAGCUGGGAGUUGAUCUUCCAGUUGAUUGUGUCAUUGACAGAGUUCUUCAAUCACUGCCACCAAGCUAUAAAGGCUUCGUGAUGAACUAUAAUAUGCAAGGGAGACUAUUCCCGAGCUCUUCGCGAUGCUAA